rnacentral:lncRNA from 1 species
UACGGAGAGCAUUUUGGUCAGUCUAAUGGACAAUUCUUCAGUCGAACAUGCAGAUGAGCCGGCAAUGUACCUUUGUUUGUACUGAGUUUUGUGAAGCUUAUGUACAAGGUAAAUAAAGGCAACAGUAGUAUACCACUGUUCGAAACUCAUAAAUCGAUAGAGAAAAAAUCAAAUCCAUGUUAAAAACUAAAACUGAGGGAAACGCCAAAUAUAGGAGGAGAACAACGACACUACAGAAACACAACAUUGAAAUGUAACACACACAGAAACGUACUAUAAUAUAACAAUGGUCAUUUUCCUGACUUGGUAAAGGACAUUUUAAGAAAAAAUGGUGGAUUGAACCUGAUUUUGUGGCAUGCCAACCUCCCGAUUUAAUGGCAAUGUUAAAUAUAACAUUAACAUAACAAUAUUACAUGACAGGACUACAAUACAAAUAAAUGGGAGAACAUAUAGAACAGAGUAACACAGGAAUAAUAGCUAAAAAAAAGUACCAGGUUUAAAAUUUAUUACCCCAGACAUGCGUUUCUUCACACACACAAGACUAGUGACGCUAUGAAGAAAAAAAUUCGAAAGCCUAAACAAGUGUGAAGUUGAAGAGCACUGAGGACCAAAAAUUAAAAAAAUGUUGUGCCCAAUACGGCUAGGGUUUUCUACCUGGGAUAAGAACAUCAUUAUCAUUAAAUAAUUCAUACGCUUGCAAACAGUAAAUUUAAUAAAAACCAUGACUACAGUGUAUAUAAUAGAUAUACAUGAUAAAACCGAAGUGUUGACUAACUAAAGAAUAAAAACGGAUACAUUACAUAAAACAACCUAAUACAGCACAUCGAAAUACACAGCCGAAUAGCCAAAGCCUCAACGCAUAAAGUGACGUCGCAUUUGAAAUUUAAAAAAAACCCACACAAAGUGUAUUAUCUAGCUAUGUCG